GACGAACGCUGGCGGCGUGCCUAAUACAUGCAAGUAGGACGCAGUUGCGAACGGGUGAGUAACGCGUAGGUAACUACCUACUAGAGGGGGAUAACUAUUGGAAACGAUAGCUAAUACCGCAUACUAGUAGAUGGACCUGCGUUGUAUUAGGUAGUAGGUAGGGUAAUGGCCUACCGAGGGAACGCUACAUAGGCGACCUGAAGGGGUGGACGGCCACAAUGGGGCUGAGACACGGCCCAGACUCCUACGGGAGGCAGCAGUAGGGAAUCGUCGGGAAUGGGGGGAACCCUGACCGGGCAACGGCGCGUGAGUGGAGAAGGUUUUCGGAUCGUAAAGCUCUGUUGUUAAGGGAGCGGUACUUAACCAGAAAGGGACGGCUAACUACGUGCCAGCCGCCGCGGUAAUAC
rnacentral:rRNA from 1 species